rnacentral:rRNA from 1 species
CACCAGACUCCUACGGGAGGCAGCAGUGGGGAAUAUUGCACAAUGGGGGAAACCCUGAUGCAGCAACGCCGCGUGAGUGAAGAAGUCAUUCGUGAUGUAAAGCUCUAUCAGCAGGGAAGAAAAUGACGGUACCUGAGUAAGAAGCCCCGGCUAACUACGUGCCAGCAGCCGCGGUAAUACGGAGGAUGCGAGCGUUAUCCGGAUUUAUUGGGUUUAAAGGGUGCGUAGGCGGGAUGCCAAGUCAGCGGUAAAAAUGCGGUGCUCAACGCCGUCGAGCCGUUGAAACUGGCGUUCUUGAGUGGGCGAGAAGUAUGCGGAAUGCGUGGUGUAGCGGUGAAAUGCAUAGAUAUCACGCAGAACUCCGAUUGCGAAGGCAGCAUACCGGCGCCCAACUGACGCUGAAGCACGAAAGCGUGGGUAUCGAACAGGAUUAGAUACCCGCGUAA